GGAUGAACGCUGGCGGCGUGCCUAAUACAUGCAAGUCGAGCGAACGGCCGAGAAGCUUGCUUCUCUGAUGUUAGCGGCGGACGGGUGAGUAACACGUGGAUAACCUACCUAUAAGACUGGGAUAACUUCGGGAAACCGUAGCUAAUACCGGAUAAUAUUUUGAACCGCAUGGUUCAAAAGUGAAAGACGGUCUUGCUGUCACUUAUAGAUGGAUCCGCGCUGCAUUAGAUAGUUGGUAAGGUAACGGCUUACCAAGGCAACGAUGCAUAGCCGACCUGAGAGGGUGAUCGGCCACACUGGAACUGAGACACGGUCCAGACUCCUACGGGAGGCAGCAGUAGGGAAUCUUCCGCAAUGGGCGAAAGCCUGACGGAGCAACGCCGCGUGAGUGAUGAAGGUCUUCGGAUCGUAAAACUCUGUUAUUAGGGAAGAACAUAUGUGUAAGUAACUGUGCACAUCUUGACGGUACCUAAUCAGAAAGCCACGGCUAACUACGUG
rnacentral:rRNA from 1 species